CGGCCCAGGGAUGGGGUGUUAGGGCCGGCAGGCACCGCUCGCUCGGUCUCCCUCCCAAGCCCAGCCUGCAGCCCGCUUCUCCCCAGCCUCCGGACCCUUCUGCUCUUGGCUGGGAUGCCAGGCCUCUCCACUUGCCCGAGCUCUCGGCCACCAGGAGACGGACACAGAAGGAGCUUGUGGGCUGCCGACUCCUGCAGGGCUUCCCAGAGUCCAGCCACCUCAACCCUCCUUGGGGGGAAUAUCGGUGCCAGACACCUCUGUGCCCUGUCAGAUGUGACUGCGCUCACGUCAGGAUUAUCUU